GAUCGACGCAGACCGUGGAGGACAGGAACGACGUUUGCGUGGCGGCCACCACUGAACUCAACAAGCUGGGACCUGUUAAACCCAGUGACCUGCUGGUGCCGUGCGGUCUUACGUGCUAUGCGCUUUUUGUGUGCUUUGCACCGACGAUUGGCUACAGCAGUGGUUCAUCAUCGGCACACUAGCCAAGACGUUCACCGUGGUUUUCUCCAUCGUCUCCGUCAACGCCUACGGGUCCUACCUGAUCCCGUGGACGACGGACCCGACGUUGAACUUGACACACGACGCGAGAUGCUUGGCCUCUCCCGAAAGUUGACGCGCAGCCGCCUUUGUCAAGGACAUUGUAGCGCGCGUAGUCUAAACAACUUAGAUGCGACUUCUUCUAUAUUUACAGUGUUUUUCUUUAAUUUACGGGUAUCUUACCCGCACGCCUGAAUUUGUAAAGAUUUUUGUUUC